rnacentral:rRNA from 1 species
AUGGACCAUGAUCACUCUCUCAGCCGGGCCGGGUAUGUUCGCCAUGUAGGACAACUCGACUCCAUGCCUGGCGCGGCCGUGGCGUGCAUAGAGCAUCCUUCCAGGUACAUCCUGGAGAGCAAGAACAAGGGAGCAGUACGCGUGGUCUCGCCGGCGAACAACAACACACGGCGUGGAGAUCGAUCGUGCCUGCAGCCUGCAGCCUUCCAGGUCCAUGGCUGCACGGUUGACAGGUGGGACUUUUUUUGUAAAAUCCCAAGUGCACCAUGGCUGUUGAAGCAGCGAUACAAAAGGAAGCGUGGCUUUGUGAAACUAUUCAAUUUCUUAAAAACUAUUUUGCUAUUUUGUGAAGAACAGAGAAAAAUGUAA